AGGACUAUAUUUCUACAGGUGGUUAAGUGGAUAAGUAAAUUGUAGAAAUUAAGGGGAAUAUUAUUUACACAUAUAUAUAUAAGGCAUGAGGAGAGAGUAUUUAUUUUAUUUUAUUUUAUUUGGCUAAUAUGCUAAUGGAUUGGUGGACUAAAAUGCAUUGGUUGGUUAUUAAAUAAAAGGUAAAAGAAGUGGGCCAAUCUACUAUUUGGACUUACGGAGGGAGUAAUAAAUUUGUUAGGUAGGUAGGUAUUAAUGAUGAAGAUAAAGGAAAGUCACAAUUAGUUAGUGCAUGUACUUAUUAUUAAGUUGAAAACAUAUUAAUUAGUGGAAGUACAGAGGGAUAAUUUCAUGUUUCCUUUUCAACAAGGCAAUGAUAAUGAUAACCUCCAGCUCCUUUAACUGCCAACAAACACCAAUUCUUCUUCUUUUCUAAAUUAUCAAGACACCACCCAUGUCCAAGAUCUUAUUACGGAUCUUGCUCCAUUCGAUUCAUUAUUGGAAGUGGACACAAAUUACUUUAACUUGAACAACACCAGAAAUAUCAAGAGGAAGAGCAAAAACAUUCCAAAAAGAAUUCUAGGAACUCAACUGUGCAAAUUUUAAUCGUUCAGAGGCUCUACGCAAAGGGAAGGCAUUAGUUUGAUUGUUCGUGGCACUCGUUCGGCAUUGAGAGUACGAUCCAGGUUCCAGUUCUACACCCCGUGGCUGAUACGCGAGGGUGACAUCUUCAGUCAUUCAGGUAAUGUGGUUCGCCUACUCGGAGGGAUAGUGUAGGUGCCACCACGACUCGCGAAUUGGGUCGUGACAAAGCAGUCCUUAUAAAAUCUAUCCUCCAUGCUAUGCCACUUCACCUCUUGGCUGUGAUUCAACCUACUAAAACUAACCUGGAUCAAAUAGAUAAGAUUGUGGCCAAUUUCUUUUGGGGUAGAGAUCAAAACAAGAACAAGAGGCAUUGGAAUUCUUGGAAUGACCUAUGUUUUCCUGUCAAUGAAAAAGGAGCUGGGUUCAUAUCUCUAAAAGACAUUUGUAGUACUUUCUCUACAACGCUUUGGUGGAAUUUAAGGACUCAAAAUACUUUGCUUAAGGAUUUUCUUCUAGCAAAGUACUGCAAAAGAUCACAUCUAGUUGACAAAAUAUGGGGUCAUGGCCAAUCACAUGUAUGGAGAAGACUCAUGAACAUUAAGAGUGAAGCUGAACCACAUACUUUCUGGAAGAUUGGAAAAGGUGAUGAAUUCCUUUGGUGGGAUAACUGGUCAGGAUUGGGAGCAAUUGCUUCUAUACUUCAGGUGGGAAGAGCUUCAAAGAUCACAAAAGUUAGUGAAUUCAUGAAUGGUGGCUUGUGGAAUCUUGACAAGUUUCCGCAAGUUCUUCCACUAGAUAUGGUUCACACUAUAAAAAAGUUGGAUAUUGAUGUAAAUAAGGCAGGUUAGCAGAUUAACCCUAUUGGCUUCUUGAAGACUAAGGGAAUUUCACUUGUAAAUCAGCCUAGCAAUUGGUGAGACAGAAACAGUGCACUAGUCUUUCUAGUUAGAAGAUUUGGCACAAAAGGAUUCUCUUCAGGAUUUCCUUUUUCAUAUUUAGACUACUCCAAAGCAAAAUACCAACAGAUGAUAUUCUUAAAUUUAUUGGAGUGGUUAUACCCUCUAGAUGCUCAUGUUGUACCAUCUAUAAGGAGGAAACUAUUGAUCAUCUUUUCAAUAAGAGCUUGAUUUCUGAAAAGGUAUGGACUUAUUUUUGUAAGUAUAGUAAUAUCUCUUAUAGAAGUCAAAACAUAAGACUUAAACUUAUGAAUCGGUGGAUGGCUAAAACUAGUAAUAAUGUUCAUUCUACCAUGAUUCAAUGUCUUUCUAUUAUCAUUUGUUGGGAAAUAUGGAAGAACAUAUGUUCUGCCAGGUUUGAGAACUUCAAAAUGUCCAAUUGGCAUAUUAUCCAGCUAGUGAUUAAAUUUAUGAAUCUUAUCUUAAAUGUCCAAUUCCCAAAACUUUUGCUUCCACAUUUGUGGAUAGACAAAUGUAGAACAAUUGAGGGCCUAAAACCUCUUAUUCACUCUAAGGCUAUCAGGUGUAAAAAAACCUGAUCUUGGAUGUUUAAGCUAAAUGUGGAUGGUUGUAGGAAAGGCAAUCCUGAAGAAACUGGCGGAGGAGGUAUUAUUAGAAGUCAUAGGGGUCCUGUGGUUAAGUCUUUCUCAGACUAUUAUGGCCUCUGUACCAAUAAUGUUGCUGAAGCUAAAGCAGUUUUGCAGGGUUGCAGCAUAUGCUAUAGCUUGGGAUUUUAGAAUUUUAUUGUGGUAUCUGAUUCCAUGCUUAUUGUGAAUAUGCUCAACAAGUCUUGUCAACCUCACUCGCAAAUCUGGCAUAUUCUAGUUCAUAUAUGGGAGAUCUCAAAUUCCAGAAAUUUUCUUUUUGUACAUACUUUUAGAGAGGGCAAUGACAUUGCUGAUCACUUUGCCAAUCUAGGAGUACAUAACAAAUUUCUUACUAUCUUCAAUGAAGCUGUUUCCCUUCCUAAUCGGGUUAGAGUUUCAAGAUGGUAUGACCAAAGAAGAACCACUUUUGCAUCAAUGAUGGUAUCACCUGAUCAUUUCGAUUUAUUGCUUGUAGCUGCAUAUCUGUAUGUAGUAGUAAUUUUCAUUCCAAAAAAUUCAACUUUGUAUAGGGUGGAGUCCCUCAAUCUUUUGUACAUGUACUAUAGGCUGAUAGCUAUUAGAUUGGAUUCCUUCAAUCUACAUCAUCUAAGUGAUGCUAAGGUUUAUGUCCUCCUCUGUGUAAUUAUCCUUUUUGGAAUGAACAGGUUGGAGUCUUGCCUAACUCGUCCAUCAAUAUGAUGGAACUUUGAUAUAAAAAAAAAAAAAAAAAUUAGUUUGUCAUUCAGUGUGUAUUUCCAGUUGUUGGUCUCCAGUUUUAUACAAUUCAGAAGCUUCCCAGUGUGUCCAAGUUGCACCAAAUGGCAUAAGUAACACUAUAUAUGUUCAUGAGGCUGUUGGAAUGCAAGUGAAUCA